rnacentral:tRNA from 6 species
GGGUCGUUAGCUCAGUUGGUAGAGCAGUUGACUUUUAAUCAAUUGGUAGCAGGUUCGAAUCCUGCACGACCCACCA